AUACGUAGGGGACGAGCGUUGUCCGGAAUUACUGGGCGUAAAGGGCGCGCAGGCGGAUAUUUAAGUCAGCUGUAAAAGGCAUGAGCUCAACUCAUGUAUGCGGUUGAAACUGGGUAUCUAGAGUGCUGGAGAGGUAGGCGGAAUUCCCGGGGUAGCGGUGAAAUGCGUAGAUAUCGGGAAGAACACCAGUGGCGACGGGGGCUUACUGGUCAGCAACUGACGCUGAGGCGCGAAAGCCAGGGGAGCGAACGGGGUUAGAUACCCCGGUAGUCCUGGCCGUAAACGAUGAAUGCUAGGUGUGGGUGUCGAGAGGCAUCCGUGCCGGAGUUAACGCGAUAAGCAUUCCGCCUGGGGAGUACGAUCGCAAGAUUGAAACUUAAAGGAAUUGACGGGG
rnacentral:rRNA from 1 species